AUUGAACGCUGGCGGCAUGCUUUACACAUGCAAGUCGAACGGCAGCAUGGUCUUCGGACUGAUGGCGAGUGGCGAACGGGUGAGUAAUGCAUCGGAACGUACCGUGUAAUGGGGGACAACUGUCCGAAAGGAUAGCUAAUACCGCAUACGCCCUAAGGGGAAAGCAGGGGACUCGCAAGAGCCUUGCGUUAUACGAGCGGCCGAUGUCCGAUUAGCUAGUUGGGAGGUAAAGGCUCACCAAGGCGACGAUCGGUAGCGGGUCUGAGAGGACGAUCCGCCACACUGGAACUGAGACACGGUCCAGACUCCUACGGGAGCAGCAGUGGGGAAUUUUGGACAAUGGGCGAAAGCCUGAUCCAGCAAUGCCGCGUGAGUGAAGAAGGCCCUUGGGUUGUAAAGCUCUUUCGGUCGGGAAGAAGGAAGUGUGGCUAAUAUCCAUGNUGACAGACGGUACCGGCAUAAGAAGCACCGGCUAACUACGUGCCAGCCGCC
rnacentral:rRNA from 1 species